CAGGUUCAUUUUUGAGCUCAAAGGUACUCUAAUUACUUAUCUGAACUUUCUCAAGUUCACAAUUCGAAAAUUGGAAAUUGUAGGCUGUUUCCUGUAUUUUUCCCUUUCUAAGUCAAAUUGUCCAAUUUGAGGAUCACUCAAUCUUUCUUGCUGAUGCUUGUCUAGGUUCAUGGGUCUUAUGUCCAGAAACUUAGCUGGUCUCCAAAACUCCCAUCUAACCGACCAUUUGCAGGUUUCUGUCCUGAUAAUGCAAUGGUUGUUGACAGAUACACUGCAAUCCUUGGGGCUCCAUUUAAAUUUGAAAUUUUAUUAUACAGAAAGUACCACCUAAUAUUGUCCACAGUUUUGUACAUCCCAUUUUUUCUACUAUGGUCCAAGGUGGUAAUAUAAAAUUAUUCAGAAAUCUGCUUCAAAAACAGCUAAUCACUGUUGUUUUCAGAGAUUCACAAUCUCAGACUUAGGGCCUGUUUGUUUACCCCCAGAUUAUAUAAUCUGGAUUAAAUAAUUCUAAGAGGCAAACAAACAGUCUAGCUUAUUUGCCUAGAUUAUAUAAUCUAACCCCUUGGAUUAUGAUAAUCCAUAAGCAAGUGAGGAGGUGCUUAUUUCAGAUUAUUUUUUUCCCACUUCCCC
rnacentral:lncRNA from 1 species